AUAGUCGAAUUAUGUUGGUGGUAGGUUAUAUAUGGAAUGGCACUUCAAUUGACAUGGUCCAGUUUCACAUGCAGUCGUGCAGACAUGCUAUCCUAGUUUUUUAUCAUAAAUAAUUAAACAGAAGUUGUACCAAUUAGUAUGAUUCUAUAGUAAUUUAUCAGUAAAUAGGAUCCAACACUUUUCAAUAGCGCUUACAAAAAGCAAAUUCUCACAAUUUCAUCCACCACAUCUUUGUCUCCCAUCCAAACCCUUGUGCUGUGCACAAUCAUCCAUCUUUUCCACUCUUUUUCCAUAAACUUGGCCUCAUAUAUAACUUUUUUUUGCAAGACUUGAAUGGUCAUGAAGACUACAUUUUUAGAUAUGCAAUGAUAGAUGCACAUGUUAUGGAUCUACUAUCGUAGAUAUGGAUUAAAAAUUUAGAUUGCAUUUAUCAGAUAAAUCACAUGUUAGAUCAGAGUUGAGAAAAAUUGUUGAGACAUAAACCCAAGGUUUGUGGAACUACCUCACCACAAGGUUUAGAUGUUUUUUUAGUUUCGUGCACCCUAUGAUAUUAAUCCAUACCCCCAAUAGUUGUUUGAAAAUACAUGCACAAUUUUUUGAGAUGGCAUUUAUUUAUCAGUAACAAAUGAUUAAUAUAUAGACUUAUUUUUUUCCUUCUAAUUUUCUAUUUGGGUUUUCUUUUAAAAACCAAAAGCCUGGAUUUCUUAGACAUCACAUUCUAAGAGGUAAGAACAUAUCCUCUUUUGAAAAACUUGGGUGGAGUGGAUUCUCUUACAGAUUCUAGAGCAGAGUUAUUAAUAUGUUAGUCUAAGUGUAGUUUCUUUUGUUCCAAUGGAGAUUCCAAUUUAAGAAAGGGCCGACAUGAAACUAGAAAUUCGCAAAGUGAUUGUCACGUAUCAAGCCAACAAUGCAGCACUACAGGUUAUGUUAUUGAUCUUGUCAUAUUGGAGUAUAUAGAGUCGUGAGAAUCAAACUCUAGUGGUCGACUGACGUCCACUUUUAUCGGA